CUUUCACAUCCAGAGUACUUUCCCCUUUUCCACACUUCCAACAUGACGAUCAGAGGAGGUGCCUAGACACCUCAGCAACAGCAGACCUGCACAUUGGGGGGGAUUUCUUAACCACUUGGCAUGGUAAAAGCAUGUUCCUUCCAGGAUUGUCUGACACUUCUCCAACCAGAUGGUCAGACGCAGCGUAUACCACGGGUUUGGCAGCGAUCUACCGGGAACAAUUGCUUUGGGGCUGUUGGCCAUGGCAUCCAGGUUUGGAAAUUUUUCCACCACUUCAGCCCCUUUGGGAGAUCUACCCCAUUGUAGCAGCUGC